AUGCAACGUUAUGGAUACCAUGACCGAUCACCAUCGAGAAAGAAGAAUUUUGAUAAAUCACUUCGGGUGAGCGGGGCCUUCAAGCGGCCUCAAUACGCCGGGGUUGUAAAUGACAUACCUUUCCUUAUGGGAAAUGCCGCCUCCUUACUAAAAAGGAAUAGAAUCAAGUUGUUUUUACCAAAGAAGUCCCGCUCUGACGGCCCGACGAGUCAUCUACUAAAAAGGAGCCUCCCCGCUGUGCGCCCCUCCUUGAAUUAUUCGGUCAUGCAAUACCUUUUUAAUACUAAGAAUAAAAUGCAUUUCGACCCCGUCCUAGUUCUCAAUCAUUUCGUGGCAUCGGGUGUGGCUGAACCAUCUACGAUGGGGGGAGCGAAGGGAGGAAGCUUAGAUAAGAGAAUACGCUCUCGCAUCGCUUUUUUUAGAAAGCUCUAC
rnacentral:rRNA from 1 species